GACGUAGGGUGCAAGCGUUGUCCGGAUUUAUUGGGCGUAAAGGGCUCGUAGGCGGUUUGUCGCGUCGGGAGUGAAAACACCGGGCUUAACUCGGUGCUUGCUUCCGAUACGGGCAGACUAGAGGUAUGCAGGGGAGAACGGAAUUCCUGGUGUAGCGGUGAAAUGCGCAGAUAUCAGGAGGAACACCGGUGGCGAAGGCGGUUCUCUGGGCAUGUCCUGACGCUGAGGAGCGAAAGUGUGGGGAGCGAACAGG
rnacentral:rRNA from 1 species